AGUCACUGACAUUAAGACUACCCGGUAGUCCAGGGUGUAAACGCUGCAGACUUGGUGUUGGAAGCCCUUUGGGGGCAUUCAGUGCCGGAGAGAAGUUGUUAAGUCUGCUACUUGGGAGUACGUCCGCAAGGAUGAAACUUAAAGGAAUUGGCGGGGGAGCACCGCAACGGGAGGAGCGUGCGGUUUAAUUGGAUUCAACACCGUAAACUCACCAGGGAAGACUGUUACAUGAAGGCCGAGAUGAAGACUCUGCUAGAUUUUCAG
rnacentral:rRNA from 1 species